CAGUAGCCGCGGGAAUACAGAGGGUGCAAGCGUUAAUCGGAAUUACUGGGCGUAAAGCGCGCGUAGGUGGUUUGUUAAGUUGGAUGUGAAAGCCCCGGGCUCAACCUGGGAACUGCAUCCAAAACUGGCAAGCUAGAGUACGGUAGAGGGUGGUGGAAUUUCCUGUGUAGCGGUGAAAUGCGUAGAUAUAGGAAGGAACACCAGUGGCGAAGGCGACCACCUGGACUGAUACUGACACUGAGGUGCGAAAGCGUGGGGAGCAAACAGGAUUAGAUACCCCUGUAGUCCCUGUCUCUUAUAU
rnacentral:rRNA from 1 species